AACGAACGCUGGCGGCAUGCCUAACACAUGCAAGUCGAACGAGAUCUUCGGGUCUAGUGGCGCACGGGUGCGUAACGCGUGGGAAUCUGCCCUUUGGUUCGGAAUAACAGUUGGAAACGACUGCUAAUACCGGAUGAUGACGAAAGUCCAAAGAUUUAUCGCCAGAGGAUGAGCCCGCGUAGGAUUAGCUAGUUGGUGUGGUAAAGGCGCACCAAGGCGACGAUCCUUAGCUGGUCUGAGUGGAUGAUCAGCCACACUGGGACUGAGACACGGCCGAGACUCCUACGGGAGGCAGCAGUGGGGAAUAUUGGACAAUGGGCGAAAGCCUGAUCCUGCAAUGCCGCGUGAGUGAUGAAGGCCUUAGGGUUGUAAAGCUCUUUUACCCGGGAUGAUAAUGACAGUACCGGGAGAAUCAGCUCCGGCUAACUCCGUGCCAGCAGCCGCAGUAA
rnacentral:rRNA from 1 species